AACGUAGGAGACGAACGUUAUCCGGAGUUACUGGGCGUAAAGGGCGUGCAGGCGGCUUGAUAAGUUCGGCGUGAAAUUUUUCGGCUUAACCGGGAAAUGUCGUCGGAGACUGUCGAGCUAGAGGGUGAUAGAGGCGGGUGGAAUUCCGGGUGUAGUGGUGAAAUGCGUAGAGAUCCGGAGGAACACCAGUGGCGAAGGCGACCCGCUGGGUCACACCUGACGCUAAGACGCGACAGCAUGGGGAGCGAACGGG
rnacentral:rRNA from 1 species